rnacentral:rRNA from 1 species
AGUGAACGCUGGCGGUAGGCCUAACACAUGCAAGUCGAACGGCAGCACAGUAAGAGCUUGCUCUUACGGGUGGCGAGUGGCGGACGGGUGAGGAAUACAUCGGAAUCUACUUUUUCGUGGGGGAUAACGUAGGGAAACUUACGCUAAUACCGCAUACGACCUACGGGUGAAAGCAGGGGAUCUUCGGACCUUGCGCGAUUGAAUGAGCCGAUGUCGGAUUAGCUAGUUGGCGGGGUAAAGGCCCACCAAGGCGACGAUCCGUAGCUGGUCUGAGAGGAUGAUCAGCCACACUGGAACUGAGACACGGUCCAGACUCCUACGGGAGGCAGCAGUGGGGAAUAGUGGACAAUGGGCGCAAGCCUGAUCCAGCCAUACCGCGUGGGUGAAGAAGGCGUUCGGGUUGGAAAGCCCUUUUGUUGGGAAAGAAAAGCAGCAGGUUAAUACCCCGCUGUUCUGACGGUACCCAAAGAAUAAGCACCGGCUAACUUCGUG